rnacentral:rRNA from 1 species
AACGAACGCUGGCGGCAUGCCUAAAACAUGCAAGUCGAACGGGUGUAGCAAUACACCAGUGGCAGACGGGUGCGUAACACGUGGGAACCUGCCCAGAGGUUCGGAAUAGCUGCGGGAAAC